GCUGGAGCAAUAGCAUAGCGGGUAUGGUGUUUGCCUUUGUGUGUGGCUGUCCUGGCUUCUAUCCCCAGCAUUCCAUAAGGUCCCCCAAACCUGCCGUUAGUGAUUUCUGAAAGCAGAGCCAGGGAUAAUCCCAAGUUCCGCACAUGUGGCCCAAAAACUCCCCCCAAAAAAUAUAUUUGUCUCUUAAACUUUUGUGAUGAAGCAUCCAGGCUAAUAUUACAAAAAGAGUGUUUAAUAUGAUGUCAUAAUAGUAAAUAUGACCAUCUGAAUAUCCAAACAUUGGAGAUAAACUAUUUGACAACUGAAAGUCAUGUUUUCACAUGAAUGUCCUAAAAGUUUAGUAGCUUUGUAAAGUGAACUUAAAAGGGAUAUAUAAGCAUUUUUAUAGAACUAAUUUUGUUUUAAAAUCCUACCUAUAUGUGCAAAAGAACUAGGAAAAAAUAAAUAUAAUCCUGUUAUAUUUGGGGAAAUAUCCCAGAUGGGUUUUUUUUUUUUUUGUAUUUUUGUGUCUUCACAAUUGUUUCAACAAUGAAAAUAACCAUAUACCAAAAUUGUUUAUACAAUAAAAAUGAACUUAAGUCUGGUUUUUGGGGUACAAUCUUUCUAGUAAUGAGACAAAAUUUAACAUAUUACUAGAAAUAGGAGGUCUGAAUUUUAUCUUUAGUUUAAAAAAAUAUAAGUAAAGACAUGUUCAAAUGAGAAUGAUACUUGGAUUUUGCAACAACUUAAAAUCUGGUGGUUUAAAGCUUAGUCUUAAAUUUAAGCUAUAUAUAAAGAAUAUAUACUUUAUAGUGCGUCAGAUAUAUUAAUAUUGACCUUUUGAUUCUACUUUUAUGAGUUGACAGUUUCUAUGUUUUAAUAAAGAAAAUAGAAUCUUCUUACUGCUUUUUAUAGUUAAUUUUAUAAGAAUAUACAAUUGCUUAGUACAGAGAGAUUUUUUUUCCACAGAAUUAAUUUUCUUUUUCACUAGAGUUUAUUAUAGGGUCCUUUAAUGUUGUAUCUUUUAUCUGAUAAAGAGUCUGUGAAGUCUGUGUGUUCAUGUCUGAGAUGAGAAGAUAAGAAGCUGCUAAUUAUAAACAAUAAACCAAUUACCUACUAGCAUUAA